rnacentral:tRNA from 1 species
GGGGAUUUAGCUCAGUGGCGUAAGCGCCUGCCUUGCAAGCAGGCAGUCUAUGAGUUCAAUCCCUG